GACGAACGCUGGCGGCGUGCUUAACACAUGCAAGUCGAGCGGUAAGGCCCUUUCGGGGGUACACGAGCGGCGAACGGGUGAGUAACACGUGGGUGACCUGCCCUCAGCUCUGGGAUAAGCCUGGGAAACCGGGUCUAAUACUGGAUAUGACUCCAUGACGCAUGUUGUGGGGUGGAAAGCCUUGUGCGGCUGAGGAUGGGCCCGCGGCCUAUCAGCUUGUUGGUGGGGUGANGGCCUACCAAGGCGACGACGGGUAGCCGGCCUGAGAGGGCGACCGGCACACUGGGACUGAGACACGGCCCAGACUCCUACGGGAGGCAGCAGUGGGGAAUCUUGCGCAAUGGGCGAAAGCCUGACGCAGCGACGCCGCGUGAGGGA
rnacentral:rRNA from 1 species